GGAAGUAAAAGUCAUAACAAGGUUUCCGUAGGUGAACCUGCGGAAGGAUCAUUAAAGAGAAUAUGCCCUUCGGGGUAGAUCUCCCACCCUUUGUUUAUAUUACCUUUGUUGCUUUGGCAGGCCCGUCUUCGGACCACCGGCUUCGGCUGGUCAGUGCUUGCCAGAGGACCCAAAACUCUUAUUAUUAAUGUCGUCUGAGUACCAUAUAAUAGUUAAAACUUUCAACAACGGAUCUCUUGGUUCUG
rnacentral:misc_RNA from 1 species